GACGAACGCUGGCGGCGUGCUUAACACAUGCAAGUCGAACGGUAAGGCCCUUCGGGGUACACGAGUGGCGAACGGGUGAGUAACACGUGGGUGAUCUGCCCUGCACUUCGGGAUAAGCCUGGGAAACUGGGUCUAAUACCGGAUAGGACCACUGCCUGCAUGGGUGGUGGUGGAAAGCUGUUGCGGUGUGGGAUGGGCCCGCGGCCUAUCAGCUUGUUGGUGGGGUGAGGGCCUACCAAGGCGACGACGGGUAGCCGGCCUGAGAGGGUGACCGGCCACACUUGGACUGAGAUACUACCCAGACUCCUACGGGAGGCAGCAGUGGGGAAUAUUGCACAGUGGGCGCGAGCCUGAUGCAGCGACGCCGCGUGAGGGAUGACGGCCUUCGGGUUGUAAACCUCUUUCAGCACCGACGAAGCGCAAGUGACGGUAGGUGCAGAAGAAGGACCGGCCAACUACGUGCCAGCCGCCGCGGUAA
rnacentral:rRNA from 1 species